rnacentral:rRNA from 1 species
GAUGAACGCUCGCUACAGGCUUAACACAUGCAAGUCGAGGGGAAACGACAUCGAAAGCUUGCUUUUGAUGGGCGUCGACCGGCGCACGGGUGAGUAACGCGUAUCCAACCUGCCCAUCACUUGGGAAUAACCUUGCGAAAGUAAGACUAAUACCCAAUGAUAUCCCACGAAGGCAUCGGAAUGGGAUUAAAGAUUUAUCGGUGAUGGAUGGGGAUGCGUCUGAUUAGCUUGUUGGCGGGGUAACGGCCCACCAAGGCAACGAUCAGUAGGGGUUCUGAGAGGAAGGUCCACCACAUUGGAACUGAGACACGGUCCAAACUCCUACGGGAGGCAGCAGUGAGGAAUAUUGGUCAAUGGGCGAGAGCCUGAACCAGCCAAGUAGCGUGCAGGAAGACGGCCCUAUGGGUUGUAAACUGCUUUUAUAAGGGAAUAAAGUGGGUCACGUGUGACUUUUUGCAUGUACCUUAUGAAUAAGGACCGGCUAAUUCCGUG